rnacentral:rRNA from 1 species
AGAGCGAACGCUGGCGGCAGGCCUAACACAUGCAAGUCGAGCGGACAUUUUCGGAUGUCAGCGGCGGACGGGUGAGUAACGCGUGGGAACGUGCCCUUUGGUUCGGAAUAGCCCUGGGAAACUGGGAGUAAUACCGGAUAUUCUCUUUGGAGGAAAGAUUUAUCGCCAAAGGGAUCGGCCCGCGUUGGAUUAGCUAGUUGGUGAGGUAAAGGCUCACCAAGGCACGAUCCUUAGCUGGUCUGGGAGGAUGAUCAGCC